rnacentral:rRNA from 1 species
CUAGCUACAGGCUAACACAUGCAAGUCGAGGGCGAGCAGGGACUUAGCUGCUAAGUCGCUGGCGACCGGCGCACGGGUGAGUAACGCGUAUCCAACCUUCCCCUUAGUAGAGGAUAGCCCGGUGAAAAAUCGGAUUAAUACUCUAUGUUGUUCAAUGCAGGCAUCUAAGUUGAACCAAAGAUUUAUCGCUAAGGGAUGGGGAUGCGUCUGAUUAGGUAGUCGGCGGGGUAACGGCCCACCGAGCCAUCGAUCAGUAGGGGUUCUGAGAGGAAGGUCCCCCACAUUGGAACUGAGACACGGUCCAAACUCCUACGGGAGGCAGCAGUGAGGAAUAUUGGUCAAUGGGCGAGAGCCUGAACCAGCCAAGUAGCGUGCAGGAAGACGGCCCUAUGGGUUGUAAACUGCUUUUAUAUAGGGAUAAAGUGCAUCACGUGUGGUGUUUUGUAGGUACUAUAUGAAUAAGGACCGGCUAAUUCCGUGCCAGCCGCUGC